AGUGAACGCUGGCGGUAGGCCUAACACAUGCAAGUCGAACGGCAGCACAGUAAGAGCUUGCUCUUACGGGUGGCGAGUGGCGGACGGGUGAGGAAUACAUCGGAAUCUACUUUUUCGUGGGGGAUAACGUAGGGAAACUUACGCUAAUACCGCAUACGACCUACGGGUGAGAGCAGGGGAUCUUCGGACCUUGCGCGAUUGAAUGAGCCGAUGUCGGAUUAGCUAGUUGGCGGGGUAAAGGCCCACCAAGGCGACGAUCCGUAGCUGGUCUGAGAGGAUGAUCAGCCACACUGGAACUGAGACACGGUCCAGACUCCUACGGGAGGCAGCAAUGGGGAAUAUUGGACAAUGGGCGCAAGCCUGAUCCAGCCAUACCGCGUGGGUGAAGAAGGCCUUCGGGUUGUAAAGCCCUUUUGUUGGGAAAGAAAAGCAGCAGGUUAAUACCCCGCUGUUCUGACAGUACCCAAAGAAUAAGCACCGGCUAACUUCGUG
rnacentral:rRNA from 1 species